rnacentral:lncRNA from 1 species
CCUUUCGGGGCUCAUCUAAAAGGCUCCUCCGCCAAGACUAGGGGACACCAGGAAUUAGGGGCCAGAGACUCCGAGAGAUGGCAUGAUCUGCUUAGAAACAGCUGGCCUCAGAAGAGAGACGCUGAGAUCCCGACUCAAGUUAGCGUGAAGGCAGAGCAGUGUUUUGCCUCUGUGACAUAAUGUUGUCAACAUUGAAGAUUGUGUAUGUCUGUGAA